rnacentral:rRNA from 1 species
CAGUCGCCGCGGUAAUGCGUAGGGUGCGAACGUUAAUCGGAAUUACUGGGCGUAAAGCGAGCGCAGGCGGUUAGAUAAGUCUGAAGUUAAAGGCUGUGGCUUAACCAUAGUACGCCUUGGAAACUGUUUAACUUGAGUGCAAGAGGGGAGAGUGGAAUUCCAUGUGUAGCGGUGAAAUGCGUAGAUAUAUGGAGGAACACCGGUGGCGAAAGCGGCUCUCUGGCUUGUAACUGACGCUGAGGCUCGAAAGCGUGGGGAGCAAACAGGAUUAGAUACCCCAGUAGUCCCUGUCUCUUAUACA